GUCGACGUUUGUCUCUAUUUCAAGGAACAGGGAAAUAUACAACUGCCAAAACGGAACAUGAUGCAAUCAAUUGAAAGUGGGAAAGCCCAUCAUUUACAAGAGUAUAUUGUGGUUCUCAUGGUCGCGUAAUGUGCUCACGCUCUAACCCUUCCUCACUACAAUAUUGGAAACUUUACAACUUUCUCUCUUUGUGUUUUUAAUUUUUUUGUUUUUUGUAAAGAUUGUGAUGUAGUAGAUAACGAUUAAUAAAAAAAUGGCCAAUUAAUAAGUAUAGGUAAUCAUGCGAUGGCGAGUACAAUUAGUGAUUAAUAGUACGAGUGAUGUUUGGAAAUUUUGCCAAAAUUGGACGAGCCGCCGGGGCGAGUUUAGACGGCGAACUUCUCAUGCGCCGAAUCUAAUGCAAGAAUUAAGUGCGACGCUGGAGCGGCGUCUAAAUCAAUUAAGUUCGACAGGUUUUGAUUAAGUUCGACAUGACUCGAAGAUGCGACAAGACAAGUCGUAU
rnacentral:lncRNA from 1 species